GCGGGGCCUCCGUGUUCUGCUGUCUUCAUCAGCGUGGGCCGCGGGCCAUCAUGAGGAAGCCACGAGCAGCCGUGGGAAGUGGUCACAGGAAGCAGGCAGCCAGCCAGGAAGGGAGGCAGAAGCAUGCUAAGAACAACAGUCAGGCCAAGCCUUCUGCCUGUGAUGGCCUGGCCAGGCAGCCGGAAGAGGUGGUAUUGCAGGCCUCUGUCUCCUCAUACCAUCUAUUCAGAGACGUAGCUGAAGUCACAGCCUUCCGAGGGAGCCUGCUAAGCUGGUACGACCAAGAGAAACGGGACCUACCAUGGAGAAGACGGGCAGAAGAUGAGAUGGACCUGGACAGGCGGGCAUAUGCUGGUCAGUACAUCUCCUGAGAGCAGGGCCACUUUGCCUCGAGGCCCUUGGGUCUGGGGGCUGUGGGCCAGGUAGGGGCAGGUCAGCAGUGUCCUCAUGCCAACCCCUUUCCCCCAGUGUGGGUCUCAGAGGUCAUGCUGCAGCAGACCCAGGUUGCCACUGUGAUCAACUACUAUACCGGAUGGAUGCAGGUGACUCCAGGGGAGGAAGGGAAGGGUCAUGGGUCAGACCCCAGAUGAGAGCCUCUACUUUGGGGUGGGUGUAGAGAAGGCUUCCUCUACCACCUUCACCCUUGACCUUGUCUCUUUCUGCCUGCCUGUGGCUAUAGAAGUGGCCUACACUGCAGGACCUGGCCAGUGCUUCCCUGGAGGAGGUGAAUCAACUCUGGGCUGGCCUGGGCUACUAUUCUCGUGGCCGGCGGCUGCAGGAGGGAGCUCGGAAGGUAAGGGGAUGGCAGGA
rnacentral:lncRNA from 1 species